UGCCGAACUCAGACCAUCUUCACGCGCCUCUCGCCGUCCCGCAGGCUACACGCACGCGCAUGCAUCUCUUCCCGCUAAUCGCGUUGGCUUCUGCUGCGCUCGCGCUCUCGGGCUCACAGCAUCACGGACCCCAUGCAAGGAGUUUCCCCAUCCAUUCCAUUCAUCUAUUUUCUAAAAUACUUUUACUACACAAGGUCACAGGGAACUAAUUAUCCUACCAUGCAUAAUUUUGGCUAGGGAGAGGGAACUGCGCAGGAAACAGGAUUGUUCCUGGGAAAAAUCCUGCAUGAACAGGGCAAAGGCAGGAUUUAAACUCCCAGCCCAGAAGGUGCAAGGCAUGCAACGUCAACCCCAAGCCACUCCCAUCCACCCAGUGUCUUGUUUUAAAAAGAAGAAAUUAGAUGACAGGACAAUCCUUAAUGUAUAUCCGGCUAUACAUGAUAACUAGUGGAGACGGAUCUAAGGGUAUAAGUGGGUAUGAGGAAAAAAGUGUAAGCUUGCUGUGGCCUUUUGUUGACAAAUGAUUAGAUUUAAUAAAAAAACAGAUUUUAUAGGGAACAAUCUUUACAUCGUAGAUUUAAACGUGGGAGAAUUUGAAGCUCAAUGUCGCAGCCAUAAACUUGAUGGCAUAAUGAUUAAUAUUGGAGGUAGUUAUGUUUAAUUCAUUAUCAUUAGGCCACAUGUCAGAUAUCCAUUCGAUUGUUCAGCUGUAGUAACACACACACACACACACACACACACGCACACACACACGCACACGCACACAUGUUGAAUGUAUCAUUUCAAGAACAUCACCAUCACCAUGACAGAGAUCGAGAGAGAGAGAGAGAGAGAGAGAGACUUCAGUACUGACAUAUGACAGGUUCCAUUGCCCACAGAGGUUCUACUCGCCCUGCACCUUCCCAGGCCCUUAAGAGUCAUCUGAGUGCCUCGAUUUUGUACACCAACUUUUGCUUUUAAAUCACCACACUGGGAAGAAGUCAGUCAUGGCAAUUCAAGAGGUUCCCUUAUAUAAGCAGAAUCUAUCACCUAUAGAUUGGCUGGACACCCAGCCCCUACUGUAACAUGCCCCUCUACAACAAGCAUUACUCAGAAGUGUACACUCUGGGACAUCUACCCUGAUGCUGCCUGGAUGCCGCUGUGCACUUACCCUGGGUUCUACAAGGUUAACAUCACCCUUCCUAGCGUCAAUAAUGCAGUGACCACUUACAGUACAUUCAUGUUUACAGUAUUUAGCAAACACUCUGGCUUUGUAGAGACUAUUAAAACAUAUCCUUGUGCUACUUCACUUAGUCAGGGAUUAAAACAUAAUCAAGCGAAGAAAAACCUUAAUGGAGGAGGUUAGUAAAACAUGAAAGAAAAGACCACACCAGACAAGGAAUCUUUCAUUUUAAUGCAAGUAUGUAGUAAGCCUUCAGUCUGCUUGAAGGCCACCGGUGACUCGGCUUUCAGACCGCCAGAGUUUGGUCAUCCCUGUAUCUUGAGGAAUAGCAGGUCAAGUCAAGCCUUGCUAGAAUUUCAACAGGAGCAUGUUGCAGAGCAGGGAAUGAUGGGCCAUUUUUGGUUUUGUAGGUAAGAAUCAGUGUUUUAAAUCGACAGAAAGCCAGUGGAGGGAAGAUACCCUCCCUUUUGGGGAGGUUGAAGGGCCAGACAAUGUGCAGAGACAGACCAACCAGUAGUCCUGGGGAUGACAAGUGACUGAGUGGCCUCUGUGGACUGAAAGGACCAGAUUCUCCUGGUUUUGUAAAGACUGAGUCAGCUUAGUGAUGAGAGGCAGAAAAAGUAGUUGGUUGACAGGUGGUGUGAUCUCAGAAUUGUCCAGAGAAAUCACAGAAUUCUGGCUGCAUGUCUAAGGAUAUACAGCAGCUUAAUUUUGUUGGGAUUUCAGCUGUCAUCUAUGAUGAGAUAGAAUUGCUGAGAUCUGUGCAGAAACAAGAUGACGAUGAAUGUCAUCAGUAUAGCAGUGGUAUGAGAACCCAUGUGAGGAUAUGACCUCACUAAAAUAGCAGGUUGGAGAGUCUGUAUGGAGCAGAUGUGGAUUCUCCCUCCAUGUCACCGGAUAUGCCUCUCUGUCUAGAUAAAAGUCAAAACAACUGCCAUGCUGUGCCAUGUAUACCAAGACCCAUGAGGAUAGCCAUAAGAGUCUUAGAUGAUGAUCAUUGAGAGCCAAUGAGUAACAGCCACAUGGGCAUUUUCUGUAGAGUGUGCCACUUUGAUGCUACACUGGUUAGGAUCUCGGAGGUUGUCCUGGUUGUGUCUACUGUCUACAAGAACUUUAGAAUGAAAAGAGAUCUGGAGUGGGCUUCUUCAACAUCAGAUUUCUCUUGAAGGCACUGGCCAAAUCUUUGGGACCCAUUUAUACUGAAAGGGGAGGAGAUUUUAUGAGAUGGUCUGGAGCAUUGUAAAAGGGUUGGGAUCCUGCAGGCAAAUGCAUGGGAUAAUCUGCAGUAUGAAUUCUGUGAAACAAGGAGAAAAAUGUGAUGAACAAUAAAAGAAGGUAAGGUUGGUUGCAGAAACUGGAGGAAACCUGUUAUUCCUAAGCUGGAUCUUGUUCAUCAUGCCAUUGUGCUACAUGUUAUCAAGGUGGUUUUCUCCACUCCUAAUACUCAAGCAGGUGAAAGACCAAAGUUUGUUGUCUCAGGACAACCAUAGCCCAGACAGCACUCUGGAGAACAUUUAGUCCUUGGCACAAAAAAAAAAGCUUUUUGGCAGAAACCCGACACUGUGCAUCAACCUGACAAUCAUCUCAGUAGUGAAGCAUGAUGAUGGUAGCUUCACGUUGUGAAUCACCCUUGGCCACUUGUGAAUCUAAUGGAAAUCGAAGAACAUGGAGGAAACCCACAUGGAAAUGCCAGACUGACAGUAAUUUGAUUUUAGGAUUGAACCCAGGACCUGCUCCAUGUGGUUAUCCAGGGUUCAUAGACACACUAAGACAUUUAGACCUUUUUUUAAGUAACAUGUUUGGGUUUAUUUUUAAUUUAUUGUUUCAUCAGUGUACAAGCAUACAAUUAUAUUGUAACCAACUUUCAGGAACGAAGUGAGGAGUGAAAUAAAACAUAGAUGACAUGGCUAACUUUCUUUCAGUUACUACUCCUAGUAUGUGCUCUCCUCCUAUACAUGCUGGUACCCAAUGUGAUGCAGGUGCCAGAUCCUGACAUAUUCAUCCUGCUGAGACUCGUUUCAUCUUCCAGACCUGCCAAAUUCAUCCUGAUGCUGUGUUCCUGCUCUGUCCCUCCUCCUUCCUCAUCUGGAACGUUCUGCACUGGUGACUCAUCUCCUGCUAUUGUGGAAAAUCUCACCUGGAUACCCUAAAGACUUAUACCCCCCCCCCUUUAUUUAUUUAAGGGAAUAAUUUUACCUAAUUGCCAAAGACUUGUAUUUAAAUCAUAUGCUGAAGUUUAUAAUAUAGACAUCAAAAUUCCACACUCCACUGACACCCAGUAGAGGGUGGGUUGCCUUUCAAAUCUGGUUCUUCCUCAGUUUCUAUUGCUAAAACAGCUAUACAAAAAAAAUUACAUUAAGUUGGUCAUAUUACGUAUUGCUGUUGAUGAAAUAAUGAUGACCAAUUAUAUUUAGAUAGCCACAUCUUUGAAAUCUAGAAAAAAAAUCUACUUCAUCUAGAAUCAUUUUUAGUUGUAGGAAAAAGUGAACAGUAUGAUGGGCUUCCCUCCUGACUGACACCUAUUCCGAAGACCCAGGCAACCUUCAGGGACUUUAAACUGCUUUAUAUGCACACACACAUACACACACACACACAAACCUGGCCUGUCAGGGGAGCACCUUUGUUUUGACAACUCGGCUCAGACACAAGGUUCCCUUACAACCAAACACAGACUUCCCUAUCAUUGGCAAAAUGUCAGCCAGAGGACUCCGAGCCACUUAACGACGGAUCAGGUUCCCCAUUCGUUGUGUUGCCCAUUAGCCAAGCAUAAAAGAGUCCAAAUUACUGCCAUAUGAUCCCCUUUGUCACCUUAAACAAAGAAGGCGACAAAAACACAACAGGUGCAUGCGUCGAUCCAAAUAUAUCAAUGUAUAAAAUUACCACCGUUCCCUAGUGUCAUACUUAAAGACAUGUAAGUAGCUAGUAAUCAUUAGGGAUUAUGUUACAAGUCUAAAGAAAGGUGUCUAUAGGUGAAAGUGUUUAGAGUUAAUUAAAAAUCAUUUGGGUUAUUUGAGGGUCAAUCAUUGAUGUGUAUGUCCACAAAGGGUUGGGUUGCCAGACCCACACAAAAUACUGAAAGAGUAACAAAUUAAUUCACCUUAAAUAUGCUUGUGCUACAUUUGGUAUCAAGACAAUUACUUUUUUUUUUUUUUUUUUUUUACAGUGUAGUCUUAUAUAAAUUUAUCUUUUGGUCAGCUAGAGAAGAUGGAGUUAUGUUAUGGGAGAAAAAAUCCUAUAAAAAACAAAGCUACCUGAUGUAAAGUCAUAUAUUUUUUAGCAAACAUUACGACUGGAAAAAGACUUCAUAUGCCAUACUGGGCAACCUUCCUUAAAAAAGUAAUUUAGUAAUUUAGUAGCAAGCUAUGUUAUAUGGAAAAGAUCCCAAAAGCAGUUUAAUUACAAGGUACAUACAUGAUUGAUGUCGCCUUAUCUGCUAAUAAUAUUAAACCAACACUUUCUUCUUUAUUAAUGAAUUACCAUGGAGUUGUUUGUAAAAUCUCUGUUAAUAUUUGUCGCUAACACGCUAAUCUGUCGAUACAUUUGUUUAACUACUAUGUUAGGUAAACUUCACUAGCAAUGCUACUGUCUAGCAACUGAAAUGCAACCAGUGUUUAUAUAUGCUAACAUUUAACCUUGUCCAUUUUGCAUAAGAUAUAUUGAGCCUGCAAUAAUCCGGUACUUUUAUUAGCUUAAGGAAAAACACAUCACAUCUUCCCAUGCUUUCUUUCAUACAACAGACCAAAAGACCCACACUAGAUGAGAAGUGACCUUUAAGGUGGGUCAGAUUGACUGGAGUUGACAGAGUGACUAGAUUCCUCAAAGUAAACAGCCUACAGCAUUAUUGAACUAAAAUUCAGGCCAAACACCAUCAAAUACCUUCAAAUAAUUGGAUGAGGGGACUCAAAAAAAAAAAAGAGAGGACUGCUUUAAUUUAAGCAGAAGCUAAGAUAGAAGCUAAGAUAAUUCUAAUAUUAUCCUUAUGUUAUAGCUAUUGGGAUUGUUUCUAUGCUACAGGGUUAUGUAGGUAAUGUUUAGCUAGUGCUGUGAUAGAGCACUGGUCUAAAACCAGCUUAAUUUUUUACAUGUUAUAUAAUACUUUAUUUUAAAGAGUUAGAGUAGCUAAGUGUCCAGCUAUAAACAUAAUAAAUAAAAUGACUAAAUAGUUGGUUAUAUAGUUUGCUGGCAGUAAGUUUCCUUUGGCCUAGAGUGCCUUGCAUAAGUCCCCUUUGAAUUAUUCCAGUACAAUUAAUUUGUCAUGUUGUGAUCUUAGUAUAAAUACACAAUGGCAUAGAACUAUAAAAACAAGUCUAGGACAUCGUUCUGGAAAAGUAUCGAUCAAGGUUUGGUUAUUAAAAAUACACAGAGCACAAUCUGUGUGGAAAGAACAAAUUUGGCACAAAUAAGAAGAGCAGGAGGCCAUCCACUAAAAGCCAGUGACCCAGGUAAGGAGAAUAUUAGUCAGAGAAGCAACCAAGAGGCCAAGGGUAUCUCAGGACAACCAUAGCCCAGACACUCCACAAAGUAGGUUUUAUGGAAGAGGAGCACUCUGGAGAACUUUUUGGCCUUGGCACAAAAAAGCUUUUUGGCAGAAUCCCAUCACUGUGAUAAUCAUCCCAGUAGUGAAGCAUGGUGGUGGUAGCUUCACGUUGCGAAUCACCUUUGGCCACAGUGGAGGGAGCUAGAGAAUGGUGAGGAAACUCACAUGGAAAUAGGAAGAACAUGCAGAACUUUGAGCUCAGGAUGUUAGCAGAUCUACUGUAUGUGGUGCAUCAGUGUAAAGGAUAGCACCAACCAGUUUCAUAAUGAAAGUAGCAAUUGGACGGCUGAGAAAUAAAUAAUGCUCCCCUCCUCCCUAAAGCUAAACAGGCUACUGCAUGAUUCCCACACUCAAGCAAAGUCUGUUAGUAUUUCCAAUAGUGUGCCAUGAUCAUGCGUUUUCCCACAACUAUGUGUUCUUACCUCAAUGCCUCAAUACCAAACGCAAGCUGGAUAAGAAAUUCCCAACACUUUUUUGCUCAUACAAAACAGCAGAUGUACCACAUCUCUGACUCAAAUGCACCAGAUACCAGCUACAAACUCAAACAUGCAUAAUACUCCCAAUGUCCUUGUUCCAAGGUCCACACUCGGCAAUACUGUAAUGCUGUAACACUGGCCAGCUAUAUACAGUAGUAUUUAACACUAUUCUUUGCUAAUAUACUCGCAUUAGAGCCUUUUACUGUAAUGCUAGCUAGCAUAUUACAUUAACCAGCCAAAUGGGUUCGGAAAUAUUUUGGGAUUUAACCUGUUGUGAUGGGAGUUUACAAUGACAGAUUGUGGCUUCUCUGAUGCAUGAACUGUUCACUUGUUAGACAGAUUCGGAAGAGUUUGUUGGAUAGUUAAGUGUUAUCACCUUCCUAGAGGGAAAUCUUUGCUAGUAGAGGCACUUCAGGUUAUAUUAGAAGUGCAAAUCUAAAUAAGGGUGGGGGA